CCUACGGGAGGCAGCAGUGAGGAAUAUUGGUCAAUGGGCGCAAGCCUGAACCAGCCAAGUCGCGUGAAGGAUGACUGCCCUACGUGUUGUAAACUUCUUUUAUAGGGGAGUAAAGUGCGGCACGUGUGCCUUUUUCUCUGUACUUUAUCAAUCAAGCUCGGCUAACUCCGUGCCAGCAGCCGCGGUAAUACGGAGGAUCCGAGCGUUAUCCGGAUUUAUUGGGUUUAAAGGGAGCGUAGAUGGGUUGUUAAGUCAGUUGUGAAAGUUUGCGGCUCAACCGUAAAAUUGCAAUUGAUACUGGAAGUCUGGAGUACAGUUGAGGUAGGCGGAAUUCGUGGUGUAGCGGUGAAAUGCGUAGAUAUUACGAAGAACUCCGAUUGCGAAGGCAGCUUACUAAACUGCCACUGACAUUGAUGCUCGAAAGUGUGGGUAUCAAACAGGAUUAGAUACCCGUGUAGUC
rnacentral:rRNA from 1 species